rnacentral:rRNA from 1 species
UUAGAGUUUGAUCCUGGCUCAGGAUGAACGCUAGCGGCACGCUUAAUGCAUGCAAGUCGAGGGGUGAGGCGCCUGGGGGUGUUGUUGGCGACCGACGGGUGAGUGAGUAAUGCGUGACCUACCCACCUCAGAGGGAUAAACCUCCGAAACAGGGGCUAAUUAAUGCUCCAUACAACCACACAUACCGUAUGUUGUAGAAAGCUAAGCCCUACGGGAGGGGCCUGCCAUGCGUGCCAUUAUUUUGUUGGUGAGGUAAUGGCUCACCAAAGGCAACGAUGGCUAGGGGGUCUGAGAGGAUGAUCCCCCACACUGGUACUGAGACACGGACCCUACUCCUACCGGAGGCAGCAAUGAUGAAUAUUGGUCAAUGAACCCGACUCUGAACCACCCCUGCCGCGUGCACGAUGAAUGCCCUAUGGGUUGUAUUCUGCUUUUCUACGGAAAGACAGUACUUGACACGUCAAGGUCUGACAAUAUUGUACCAAUAGGCAUCGUAUAACUCCGUGCGCGCGCGCUCGCUAGUACUGAUGAUGCUAGCGUUAUCGGGAUUCACUGUGUUUAAAGGGUGCGUAGCCGCGUACUAAGUCAGUGGAGACAGCUUGCUGCUUAGCAGUAGAGUGCCGUUGAUAGUACUGUUCUUGAUUGCAGUUGAGGUAAGU